AUACUUACCUGGCAGGGGCGAUACAAUGAUCAAGAAGGUUGUUUGCCCAGGGCGAGGCUCGGCCAUUGCACUCCGGUCGUGCUGACCCCUGCGAAUGGCGAUGGGCUGAACUGGAGUGCAAUUAGUCAUGCUCUUGAUUGGUUAAGGAAUCUACAAUGU
ensembl:snRNA U1 U1 spliceosomal RNA